rnacentral:rRNA from 1 species
CCUACGGGUGGCAGCAGUGGGGAAUAUUGCACAAUGGGGGAAACCCUGAUGCAGCGACGCCGCGUGAGUGAAGAAGUAUUUCGGUAUGUAAAGCACUAUCAGCAGGGAAGAAGGAAGACGGUACCUGACUAAUAAGCCCCGGCUAACUACGUGCCAGCAGCCGCGGCAAAAGGGAGGGGGCAAGCGGUAAUCGGAUUUACUGGGUGUAAAGGGAGCGUAGGCGGCUGGGCAAGUCUGAAGUGAAAGCCCAGGGCUCAACCCUGGGACUGCUUUGGAUACUGGGGAGCUAGAGUGCUGGAGAGGUAAGUAGAAUUCCUGGUGUAGCGGUGAAAUGCGUAGAUAUUAGGAGGAACACCAGUGGCGAAGGCGGCCUCCUGGACGGUAACUGACGUUGAGGCGCGAAAGCGUGGGGAGCAAACAGGAUUAGAUACCCCUGUAGUC